GCAGGCGCGAAAACUUUGCAAUACACGAAAGUGUGACAGGGCUAUCCCGAGUGCCAUCCGCUGAGGAAGGCUUUUACCCAGUCUAGAACGCUGGGGGAAUAAGGAGAGGGCAAGUCUGGUGUCAGCCGCCGCGGUAAUACCAGCUCUCCGAGUGGUGUGGAUGUUUAUUGGGCCUAAAGCAUCCGUAGCUGGCUAAGUUAGUCCCUUGUUAAAUCCACCGAAUUAAUCGUUGGAUUGCGGGGGAUACUGCUUGGCUAGGGGACGAGAGAGGCAGACGGUAUUUCCGGGGUAGGGGUGAAAUCCUAUAAUCCCGGGAAGACCACCAGUGGCGAAGGCUGUCUGCUAGAACGCGCCCGACGGUGAGGGAUGAAAGCUGGGGGAGCGAACCGGAUUAGAUACCCGGGUAGUCCCAGCUGUAAACGAUGCAGGCUAGGUGUUUGGACGGCCACGUGCCGUUCUAGUGCCGCAGGGAAGCUGUUAAGCCUGCCGCCUGGGGAGUACGAUCGCAAGAUUGAAACUUAAAGGAAUUGGCGGGGGAGCAC
rnacentral:rRNA from 1 species